rnacentral:rRNA from 1 species
GGAAUAUUGCACAAUGGGCGCAAGCCUGAUGCAGCAACGCCGCGUGCGGGAAGAAGGUCUUCGGGUCGAAAACCGCUUUUCUGCGGGAAGAGCAUGACGGUACCGCAGGAAUAAGUCUCGGCUAACUACGUGCCAGCCGCCGCGGUAAAACGUAGGAGGCAAGCGUUAUCCGGAUUUACUGGGCGUAAAGCGCGUGCAGGUGGUGGCUUAAGUCGUGCGUGAAAGCUCCCAGGCUCAACCGGGAGAGGUCGGGCGAAACUGAGUCACUAGAGACAGACAGAGGCAAAGGGAAUUCCGGGUGUAGUGGUGAAAUGCGUAGAGAUCCGGAGGAACACCAGUGGCGAAGGCGCUUUGCUGGGUCUGGUCUGACACUCAGACGCGAAAGCAUGGGGAGCGAAC